rnacentral:rRNA from 1 species
UACGUAGGGUGCGAGCGUUAAUCGGAAUUACUGGGCGUAAAGCGUGCGCAGGCGGUUGGUUAAGUCUGAUGUGAAAGCCCCGGGCUCAACCUGGGAAUGGCAUUGGAAACUGGCCAGCUGGAGUGUGGCAGAGGGGGGGUGGAAUUCCGCGUGUAGCAGUGAAAUGCGUAGAGAUGCGGAGGAACACCGAUGGCGAAGGCGGCAUCCUGGACUGGUCCUGACACUCAGGAGCGAAAGCGUGGGGGAGCGAUCCGG